rnacentral:rRNA from 1 species
GACGAACGCUGGCGGCGUGCUUAGCACAUGCAAGUUGAACGGUAUGACAUGGAAGCUUGCUGAAGUGUCAUAUAGUAGCGGACGGGUGAGUAAUGCAUGAGAAGCUGCCAUUGGGAGGGGGACAACAGUUGGAAACGGCUGCUAAUACCCCGUAUGCCGGAAGGUGAAAGGGAGCGAUCCGCCCGAUGAGGUGCUCAUGUCCUAUCAGCUGGUUGGUGGGGUAACGGCCUACCAAGGCGACGACGGGUAGCCGGCCUGAGAGGGUGAACGGCCACACUGGAACUGAGAUACGGUCCAGACUCCUACGGGAGGCAGCAGUGGGGAAUAUUGGGCAAUGGGGGCAACCCUGACCCAGCGACGCCGCGUGAGGGAAGACGGCCUUCGGGUUGUAAACCUCUUUUGUACGGGAAGAAGGAAGUGACGGUACUGUACGAAUAAGUCCCGGCUAACUACGUGCCAGCAGCCGCGGUAAUACGUAGGGGACGAGCGUUGUCCGGAAUUACUGGGCGUAAAGGGCGCGCAGGCUGUGCUGCAAGUCAGCUGUGAAAUAUCUGGGCUUAACCUGGAUAUGCGGUUGAGACUGCAGUGCUGGAGUGCUGUAGAGGCAAGUGGAAUUCCCAGUGUAGCGGUGAAAUGCGUAGAUAUUGGGAAGAACACCGGUGGCGAAGGCGACUUGCUGGGCAGCAACUGACGCUGAGGCGCGAAAGCCAGGGGAGCAAACGGGAUUAGAUACCCCGGUAGUCCUGGCCGUAAACGAUGAAUGCUAGGUGUGGGUGUAGAGAUACAUUCGUGCCGGAGUUAACGCGAUAAGCAUUCCGCCUGGGGAGUACGGUCGCAAGAUUGAAACUCAA